AAUAUUGGACAAUGGGCGAAAGGCUGAUCCAGCCAUGCCGCGUGUAUGAUGAAGGUCUUCGGAUUGUAAAGCACUUUAAGUUGGGAGGAAGGGUUGUAGGUUGAUACCCUGCAAUUUUGACGUUACCAACAGAAUAAGCACCGCCUAACUUCGUGCCAGCAGCCGCGGUAAUAAGAAGGGUGCAAGCGUUAAUCGGAAUUACUGGGCGUAAAGCGCGCGUAGGUGGUUCGUUAAGUUGGAAGUGAAAGCCCAGAGCUUACCCUAGGAAUUGCUUGAAAUACUGACGAUCUAGAGUACGGUAGAGGGUAGUGUAAUUUCCUGUGUAGCGGUGAAAUGCGUAGAUAUAGGAAGGAACAUCAGUGGCGAAGGCGACUACCUGGACUGAUCCUGACACUGAGGUGCGAAAGCGUGAGGAGCAAACAGG
rnacentral:rRNA from 1 species